rnacentral:tRNA from 1 species
UAGCCUAGUGGGUAAGGCAACGGAUUGCGAAUCCGGAGACGGCAGGUUCGAUUCCAGU